rnacentral:lncRNA from 1 species
UACACUACAGUACAAUCAUAGAUACAAAGGCCCAGACAUGUACAUAAGGUAUUUCUCAAAUACAUGAGACUGCAUGCUUUACGUUACAAUAAUAUUUUUACUAUUUGCAAUUAUAUAACUUCAUUAUACAGUAAGACAAUCUGUAAUAACCCUUUGAAUUUUUAAUAGUGUAAUGUUAGCCUGUGGUGUGAUAGCACAUUUUUGGUGAACUUUUGGAAUACCUGUAUUUUUCACAUUCCAUACAAAGAAAAGGACUAGAUAAGAAAUUUGAAUUUUAAUCCUAAACUCUCAAUUAAUUAAGUCCUGUGCCCAUUGGCAAGUUACUAAAUUCUCUAAACCUCAGGCUCUUUAGCUUCAGAUCAGUUGAAGAAAUGCAUGUAGAACACUUAUUCUAUGAAAUAGUGAUUCCUGUUGCUGCUGUGUCCCUUCACUGAUACAAGUAUUCUAAGUGUGGACAAUCAUACACACAUACACAAUAACCACUGUUAGUCUCCAGAACUGAUAGAUAAAUAUAACCAUGUGAUAGUUAAUGUGAUCAUAUAUCCAUAAAUAUAUAUAUAUAUAUGCUUUGGAAAUAUAUGUUUAUAGUAUACAUGUGUAUACAUAUAUAUUUUUUAUGUAAAAGUACAAGUUCAAAAAAACGUAGUAUUCCACAGGAGGGGUAAUUUUUUAAUGUAUUUCCUAAUAUAUGGAAUAAUUAGUAUAUAUACCAAUAUACUAUACUAAUUAGUAUGUAUAUUAAUAUAAUUUUUAUUCUUACAUAUUUUUAUUCAUUCAGUAGGCUGUGCCUAAAAACACAAUUCAAGACGAUGAACACUCUUUCUAGUUACUUGAUCCAAUUUAACUUCAUUAUCCAGUAAAUAAAUCUCUCUACAUGGCUGGAAUCAUGACAAUCACCAUUAGUGGGACUGCAGACUGUCUUGGAUAACAGGGUUAUUUUAGGCAUGUAGACAAGUGGGGCACCUUUGAAUUAAAGACUUUCAUAUAUUACCCAAUUCUUCCUUAAAAAAGAAUUUGUGGCAGAACAUAAUCAGGAGAAGACUUAAGUAAAUUAAUGCUGUAAACUCCUCCUCCCAGUGUGUUAACAAAAGUCAUUGCACUAAGGCUUUUGGAGUAUCCAAAAUUGUUUAGCUAUUUAUCAUCAAAUUUUGGGAUGGUCACCCAUAACUCUGGACCUUAUUUUUUUAAUUAUCACAAGUGUGGUAGAUACUAAAUAUAUUUUUUGUCUUUUUUUGUUUUUGUUGUUGUUAUUGUUGCUAUUUCUUGGGCCGCUCCCGCAGCAUAUGGAGGUUCCCAGGCUAGGGGUUGAAUCAGAGCUUUAGCCACCAGCCUACGCCAGAGCCGCAGCAACGCGGGAUCCGAGCCGCGUCUGCAACCUACACCACAGCUCACGGCAACGCCGGAUCCUUAACCCACUGAGCAAGGGCAGGGAUCGAACCCGCAACCUCAUGGUUCCUAGUCGGAUUCGUUAACCACUGCGCCACGACGGGAACUCCCUAAAUAUUUGUUGAAUGAAGGAACAAACCUCCAUUGUAAUAAUAUGAAGUGUUUGGAUAUUUAAUAUUUGUAUUGUACUUUAUUUUUGCAUUUAAACGUAAGAAGAUUAUGCUACUUGGAAGAGUUUGUUUAAUUAAGAUACGCCAUAAGAAGUGAGCAUUUCUGAGAAAAGAUGGAGUAUAUUUUUAUAUCUUCUAUUUGUUACGGAUUGGAAUAACAAUGGAAAUUGUCAAGAACGGAGGGGAAAUGAAAACUUCAGGUUGUGCUUUUAUUAUACUUGUUUUUAAACUGCAAAGAUGGGGACAAAUUUCUAUCAGCCAGCUGAGGAAAAAUGCUCUGCUUUGUUGAUAAAUAUGGAGUAAGAUAUGGAUUUAUCUUUAACAUGAACCAUGCCUGAGAGGGGAGAUAUCCAAAUGGGGGUUAAGGGCUGUCAGAUGGGGCCUUUGUAUUUAUUAGUUAGAACCAAGAAAGGCUACGAGAGUGCAGAAGCUAUUUGCUUUGAUGUUUAACUUUGAAAAGGGAAUUUACCAGCAGAGAGAUUCACUGGAGAGAUAAAGGGAGAAGGUUAGGGUUAGGUAGGAUAUGUAAUGAGGAGAAAUGG